UACGAAGGUGGCAAGCGUUGUUCGGAUUCACUGGGCGUACAGGGUGUGUAGGCGGUUUGGUAAGCCUUCUGUUAAAGCUUCGGGCCCAACCCGGAAAGCGCAGAGGGUACUGCCAGGCUAGAGGACGGGAGAGGAGCGCGGAAUUCCCGGUGUAGCGGUGAAAUGCGUAGAGAUCGGGAGGAAGGCCGGUGGCGAAGGCGGCGACCUGGGUCGAUACUGACGCUGAGGUGCGAAAGCGUGGGGAGCAAACAGG
rnacentral:rRNA from 1 species